rnacentral:rRNA from 1 species
GAUGAACGCUGGCGGCGUGCCUAAUACAUGCCAGUCGAGCGAACGGACGCGGAGCCUGCUUCUCUGAUGUUAGCGGCGGACGGGUGAGUAACACGUGGAUAACCCACCUAUAAUACUGGGAUAACUUCGGGAAACAGGAGAUAAUACCCGAGGAUUUUGUGUACCGCACGGUUCAAAAGUUUAAGACGGGGUUGUGGUCACACAUUGAUGUAUCUGCGCUGCAUUAGCUAGUUGGUGAGGUAAAGGCUUACCAAGGCAACGAUGCAUAGCCGAGCUGAGAGGGUGAUCGGCCACACUGGAACUGAGACACGGUCCAGACUCCUACGGGAGGCAGCAGUAGGGAAUCUUCCGCAAUGGGCGAAAGCCUGACGGAGCAACGCCGCGUGAGUGAUGAAGGUCUUCGGAUCGUAAAGCUCUGUUAUUAGGGAAGAACGUAUGUGUAGGUAACUGUGCACAUCUUGACGGUACCUAAUCAGAAAGCCACGGCUAACUACGUG